rnacentral:rRNA from 1 species
UACGUAGGGUGCGAGCGUUGUCCGGAAUUAUUGGGCGUAAAGAGCUCGUAGGCGGUGUGUCACGUCGGCCGUGAAAACCUGCAGCUUAACUGUGGGCGUGCGGUCGAUACGGGCAUCACUGGAGUUCGGCAGGGGAGACUGGAAUUCCUGGUGUAGCGGUGAAAUGCGCAGAUAUCAGGAGGAACACCGGUGGCGAAGGCGGUUCUCUGGGCCUGUACUGACGCUGAGGCGCGAAAGCUAGGGGAGCAAACAGG